CACGCUGUAAACGAUGGAUACUAGGUGUAGGGGGCGUAGCCCUCUGUGCCGCAGUUAACACAUUAAGUAUCCCGCCUGGGGAGUACGAUCGCAAGAUUAAAACUCAAAGGAAUUGACGGGGGCCCGCACAAGCAGCGGAGCAUGUGGUUUAAUUCGACGCAACGCGAAGAACCUUACCAAGGCUUGACAUCUGUAGAAUUCGGUAGAAAUACUGAAGUGCCCUUUCGGGGGAACUGCAAGACAGGUGG
rnacentral:rRNA from 1 species